rnacentral:rRNA from 1 species
AUUUCGUGGAGGUCCGAACCCACGAGCGUUGAAAAGCUCGGGGAUGACUUGUGGGUAGCGGUGAAAUUCCAAUCGAGCCCGGAGAUAGCUGGUUCUCCCCGAAAUAGCUUUAGGGCUAGCCUCAAGGGGAGAGAUACGGAGGUAGAGCACUGAAUGUCCUAGGGGGUAUUGCACCUACCGAAGACUAUCAAACUCCGAAUGCCGUCAUCUUAUACUUGGGAGUCAGACUGUGGGUGAUAAGAUUCAUAGUCGAAAGGGCAACAGCCCAGAUCGUCAGCUAAGGUCCCUAAAUGUAAGUUAAGUGGUAAAGGAUGUGGGAUUGCACAGACAACCAGGAUGUUGGCUUAGAAGCAGCCACUCAUUCAAAGAGUGCGUAAUAGCUCACUGGUCGAGUGAUCCUGCGCCGAAGAUU